GAAAUGCGAUAAGUAAUGUGAAUUGCAGAAUUCAGUGAAUCAUCGAAUCUUUGAACGCACCUUGCGCUCCUUGAUAUUCCUUGGAGCAUGCCUGUUUGAGUAUCAUGAAAUCUUCAAAGUAAAUCUUUUGUUAACUCAAUUGGUUUCUACUUUGGUAUUGGAGGUCUUUGCAGCUUCACACCUGCUCCUCUUUGUUCAUUAGCUGGAUCUCAGUGUUAUGCUUGGUUCCACUCGGCGUGAUAAGUUAUCUAUCGCUGAGGACACUGUAAAAGGUGGCCAAGGUAAAUGCAGAUGAACCGCUUCUAAUAGUCCAUUGACUUGGACAAUACUUUUAUGAUCUGAUCUCAAAUCAGGUAGGACUACCCGCUUAACUUAAGC
rnacentral:misc_RNA from 1 species